GUGAUGGACGGGAUGUAGGGUAUGAAAUGGGGAAAAGCCCUGAAUGAACCCAUUACUGAUGGUAGCAGCAGGCUUUGAAAGACAAAGGCUGUGGGGAAAGGUUUUAGGGCCAAUCCCCAGUCCCACGUGUGCCCUGGGGGUCAAGGGGGAGGCGGCUCCCAUCGUGAUUUGGAGAUUUGGUCGUGUGCAUUCACACUUGAGUCCCCCGAUGGGUCUCACUUUCCAAGAUCCUGUGCUGCAGCCUUCAGCUCAGACCUUUCUAGAGGGGCUGGAGUCAUUCACGCAGCAGCACAUCUUAAUUUGGGAUUGGCAGUGAGUGAGGGCCCAGAGCUCUGAUGCUUGCCACUUUGGGGAGGCAGUUAGAGGCCUGCAGGGAGCAGGUCUGGGCACUGGCUUAUGGCUUUCCUGCUUCAGUCAGGCAGGUGCUUACAUUUAUUCAGUGCCUAUGACGUGGAAAGUGCCGCACCAGAUGCUGGAGGGAGGGGACAGGAAUAGAACACGUGCACUGUCUCCCUUGUAGAGGAGCUUACAGACCAUCAGGAAGGUACUGCACAUUGCAGAAAAUACAUAACAGAGAAUUCCCAUCACUGAGUGCAUUUUCACGAGCUAGGUCUCUGCAGCGGGGGAGGUAGUGAGCUGAGUUGGGGAUGGGGCUGGAGGUGCAGUUUAGAUCUGGAUGAAGCUCACCAGGAAAGACUUUUCACGGAAAAUUAACCUGGGCAGGGUUUGGAGCCACCCAGGGACACAGAAUGCUGGAGAGGAGAAGGCGGGGGUACUGCAGAAGGGAAAAUGGUAUUUGCAAAAGUGCGGAAGCAGGAUCUGGACAAGAAUUGAUAAGCCCAGGGAAUUCCCUGGUGGUCCAGUGGUUAAGAAUCCACCUCUUAAUGCAGGGGACAGGGGUUCGACCCCACGCAGGGGAACUAAGAUCCCAUAUGCCAUGGGCAGCUAAGCCUGCAUGCCGCAACCACUGAGCAUGUGCUCUAGAGCCCCAGGGCACAACUAGGGAGAAGCCUGUGCGCUACAUGAAAGAUCCCACGGGCCACAACUGCACCCUGACACAGCUAAAUAAAUAUUAUAAGAUGAUAAGCCCAUUGAUAUGUCUGGAGCAGGUCAUCUUUGCGGGAGUGACACGCUGUCUGUGAAGUCACUGUGGAGAAGACUGGUGGGCAGGGUGGGGAGCUGCAAAUCUCCUGAGAGGUGAACAGACAACAUUCAUGUACACCUUUGGCAGAGGCAAACCUGUACAGGGACCUGAGAUAAAGUAAGAUCCACCUUUAAUAGGUUUGUGUGUGUAUGUGUGUGUGUUUGGUUGAGGUGGGUGGUGAAUUACUUAAGACUCUUUAAUGGCAAGCAACAGAAACCAAAGUGUGACUGCUGGUCCACCCUGGGGCCGAGAUGGGCAAACAUUCCAGAGUGUCGCAAGUGGCUGUAAGGGCCAUGUGAGGGGCUGGGCUGCUGUGUGGCUUGUCUGCAGGGCAGUGGAAAGGCCAGGAGACCCAAAUUCCAGACCUGACUCUACACAGCUUGAGGUCAUGGGCACAUGUCCCUCCUCUCUGAGCCUCUGUUUCCUUAUCUGUUACAUGAAGGGCUGGGUUAACUGAUUCCUCCCAGCUCGAGAAGUGUGUUUCUUUUGCCUGUGGAUGGGAUGAAGAGGGCCUGGUUUGGGGUGAGGGCCGGGGAAGUGAAGUGGGUAUGAGGAAAGCAUCAUAGGAACAACUGGAAGAUGCUGAUGAAGAGCUGGUUGUGGAGCAUAAAGAGGAUUCCAGGGACACAGAAGCUGGAGGAUGGUGGCUUUCCUCGUGGCGACAAUGACAGCAGGAAAGAAGGCCCAUCUGCAGAGAGCAAGAGCUCAGCUUUAGGUGGUAGGGUAUCCAAUAUGAGAGACCUGAAGACCCCCGCAGAGGGUUGCUUGUUGAAAGUCACAUGGCAGAGUUAGAAAUGAGAUCUGAGAGGCAUUUUCCAAGGAGAGAUGUUUGGAGCCAGAGGAGACAUUGAUGUUGAGGGGAAAAAAGAGGAAGGAAGGCAAAGAUGCCUGGGAGAUACAGAGAGAAGAGCCACAGGAGAAGGUGUAGCUGGGAGGAGGGGUUUCAGCUGGGCAGGCACUUGGGUGAUGCCCAAAUGUAUGCGAAACUGUAGCGGCCAGGAGGAGAGUACCGGCCCCUUCUCAGGAAGCAGUGGGUGGUGGUGAGGAGCUUAGAAACGAGAGGCAGCUGAGGCAGAAAAUGAAGCCCAUUUUUGAGUAAAUGAAUUGGAUAAUGAAGGUAAGAAGGAAAAAACAGGGUAGUGGCUUCAAAGACCAGUGGACUCAGUGGAUUCAGAGAAGCCUCUCUCUCCGCCUCCUUCCUUUCCUUUUUCAUGUAAGGACACGGUGAGAAGACGCCAUCUAUGAACCAGGAGGAGGGCUUUCACCCUCUCACCAGACGCUGGAUCUAGGGUGCUUUGAUCUUGGACUCCCAGCUUCCAGGAUUGUGAGAACUGUCGGAAAGAAAGUUCUCUCGUUUGAGCCACCCCGUCUGUGGUAUUUUUGUCAUGGCAGCCCAAAGGGACUGGGCCACCCUCCUGCCACCUCCCUUUUCAGUUGUGACCCUGAGGAGCUCCUGGGAGCACAGAGCCAGCCGGUACCCUCCGGCACGCACCCUUGGUGGCCUUGGUAGUUCAGUGUGGAAAUUUGGUGUGAGAUGGGCUGUCCAGGUGAGAGAUUUUUUUUUUCCCCUAUAGCUCCUGGCCUCAGAUCAUUAAGACCGGGAGGUUGAACAGUGUCUGGGGGCCUCAAAGGAUGUCCCUGCUGUCAGUGGCUUAUUCUCGUUUCCCAGGCGUUGAAGUCAAAGCAUCUCAGUGAAGGUUGAUGGACAGGGACAGUGUCACCUGUGGGUAUUUGGGGAACGGUGACUCAUAGGAGCAGAGGACAGGAAGGGCCUGGACCCUGCCGCCAAGCUCUGCGCCAGGCAAGCACAUGGUCUUCGUGGUUCCUCCUCCGACUGCCACCCUUCUCAGAAGCAAAGUGCCAGGCUUGAUUCCUGCAUCCGCUGCACCUCGGGGUGUGCAUGCCAAGAGAUCAUGGUGCUCCGGUGUUGGGGGUUCAGAGUCUUUGAAGGCACACCCUUAGGAUGACUAGAUAGCACUAGUUACCCCGGGGCCUGUCACCUCCUGACUCUCACAGCUUCCCAUGUGGCCGGGUUCCCCAGAGGGUUCUGGGUCGGCCUGUCAUGUCCUCCCUGUCAUGACUCCUGGAGAGCGUGUCAGAGCAUUUUGUUUCUCUCCCAUCUUGCUUAACCUCGUCUCACUGAUCUUUCUCAAGCAGUGGUUUUAAAAAUAAAGGACCGCCUCCUCUUGCUUGAAAUUCCCUUCUCCUGAAACAUCUCUGCCAUCAAUAGGGCCGGCCUCCGGGACGCCCUAGCGCUGCUACAGGCUGCUGGCAAUAACGUUGCUCUCUGCGCUGGGAAGAGGUCUGCCGCUGCUCCUGCCCCUUCACAUUCCUGUCCUGGUGUUGGGGGGUGCCUAGGCCGGGUUUGGAGGGGCCUGUAGGAGUUAAGCUGCCCCAUUUGGACUUGCUUCCUGGGUCAGUCUACCCUUUAUGUAUCCUGGAGGAGGGGCGUCUGAUGGAGGCGGGGAUGGAUCCAGAACCGAGGCUGGAGGAAGCGUCAGCUUGCAGGCAGCAGCAUCCAGCAGAAUAUCUGCUUCAGCAAGGUGACUGCUCCUGCCAGCCAGACGCCAGGGCUGGGCUUUUGGCCUGUGUUCAAGCUCGGGCUGGCGUGUGCUUGGAAUAAGCAGCACACAACCGCUGGCCCAGGAAGCUUUCUCUUUUAGCAACAUGUCCUGGAGUUUGUUCCCACAGCUCUGCCCCGUGCCAUUCUGUUCUGUGCCAGGACAUUGCCGAGUUAACCUACUCUGCAUUGCUCCACUUUAUGUUGAUUCCAAUAUUUUGCUAUUCCCAAAAAUGGAUGCAAUAAAUACCAU
ensembl:lncRNA